rnacentral:rRNA from 1 species
GAACGGGAAAUAUUUAUUGAAACUUCGGUCGAUUUAAUUUAUUUCUAGUGGCGGACGGGUGAGUAACGCGUGGGUAACCUGCCUUAUACUGGGGGAUAACAGCCAGAAAUGACUGCUAAUACCGCAUAAGCGCACAGAACCGCAUGGUUCCGUGUGAAAAACUCCGGUGGUAUAAGAUGGACCCGCGUUGGAUUAGCUAGUUGGCAGGGCAGCGGCCUACCAAGGCGACGAUCCAUAGCCGGCCUGAGAGGGUGAACGGCCACAUUGGGACUGAGACACGGCCCAGACUCCUACGGGAGGCAGCAGUGGGGAAUAUUGCACAAUGGGGGAAACCCUGAUGCAGCGACGCCGCGUGAAGGAAGAAGUAUCUCGGUAUGUAAACUUCUAUCAGCAGGGAAGAUAAUGACGGUACCUGACUAAGAAGCCCCGGCUAACUACGUGCCAGCAGCCGCGGUAAUACGUAGGGGGCAAGCGUUAUCCGGAUUUACUGGGUGUAAAGGGAGCGUAGACGGCGCAGCAAGUCUGAUGUGAAAGGCAGGGGCUUAACCCCUGGACUGCAUUGGAAACUGCUGUGCUUGAGUGCCGGAGGGGUAAGCGGAAUUCCUAGUGUAGCGGUGAAAUGCGUAGAUAUUAGGAGGAACACCAGUGGCGAAGGCGGCUUACUGGAC